rnacentral:tRNA from 2 species
GUAAAUAUAGUUUAACCAAAAACAUUAGAUUGUGAAUCUAAACACAGAAGCCCAUUACUUCUUAUUUACC